GCAAGCGUGGUGAAGUGGUUUGAGCAUUGGAGUACAACUCAAGAUCAGGGUUCAAUUCCCUGCUCGAGCA